AAUCAACGCUGGCGGCGUGCCUAACACAUGCAAGUCGAGCGCGAAAAGGGAGCAAUCCCUUAGUAGAGCGGCGGACGGGUGAGUAACACGUGGGCAACCUGCCCUUGGGUGGGGAAUAACUCAGGGAAACUUGGGCUAAUUCCGCAUGAUAUCUCCGGAGCGCAAGCACUGGAGAUCAAAGCUGGGGACCCUUCGGGGCCUGGCGCCUGAGGAGGGGCCCGCGGCCGAUUAGCAGUUGGUGAGGUAACGGCUCACCAAGGCUACGAUCGGUAGCCGGCCUGAGAGGGCGGACGGCCACACUGGGACUGAGACACGGCCCAGACUCCUACGGGAGGCAGCAGUGGGGAAUCUUUGGCAAUGGGGGCAACCCUGACCAAGCAACGCCGCGUGGAGGAUGGACGGGCCCUCGGGUACGUAAACUCCUGUCGGACGGGACGAAUGCGGUGAGAGCGAAUAACUC
rnacentral:rRNA from 1 species